CUGGUGUCAGCCGCCGCGGUAAUACCAGCACCCCGAGUGGUCGGGACGAUUAUUGGGCCUAAAGCAUCCGUAGCCGGUCUUGCAAGUCUUCCGUUAAAUCCACCUGCUUAACAGAUGGGCUGCGGAAGAUACUACAAGACUAGGAGGCGGGAGAGGCAAGCGGUACUCAGUGGGUAGGGGUAAAAUCCUCUGAUCCAUUGAAGACCACCAGUGGCGAAGGCGGCUUGCCAGAACGCGCUCGACGGUGAGGGAUGAAAGCUGGGGGAGCAAACCGGAUUAGAUACCCGGGUAGUCCCAGCUGUAAACGAUGCAGACUCGGUGAUGGGCCGGCUUCAUGCCGGCUCAGUGCCGCAGGGAAGCCGUUAAGUCUGCCGCCUGGGGAGUACGGUCGCAAGACUGAAACUUAACGGAAUUGGCGGGGGAGCACCACAAGGGGUGAAGCCUGCGGUUCAAUUGGAGUCAACGCCGGAAAUCUUACCGGGGGCGACAGCAGAGUGAAGGUCAAGCUGAAGACUUUACCAGACAAGCU
rnacentral:rRNA from 2 species